AACAGGAAGCUGCAACAGUGAGUACUACUACUCUUACAGUGCUUUUUUACAUAGCAGGAUAAAUGUAUGGGGUAACUGGUGCUAGAGCUUGGUAUGAACUCAUCUGCAAAGAAUUUCCUGUGUCUAUCUUGCAGAUUUCUCAGUGAUGAGCCUUCAAUCUUUGCCCAGGAGAGACCACCACAUUGUCAAGCCUCUGACAGCAUAUCAGUAAAAAGGUCUAUGAAAAUACACUCUUCUUGCCUGUUACAAAUGAUGUGUAGGUAUUAUUUUAGAGGUUUCCCUGCAGUGGUUUAUACUCUUAUAUUAAGAGCUAUUAUGAGCUAUGUCUUUGCCAUUUGAGAUAGAAUGCACUAUUCAGCAGAUGUGACAGUAACAUGGUAUCACACACACUUCACUUCUGUGUUCUUACCCACAUCUCCUGCUAGGGAAAAAAAAGACAAAAAGCUUUGUCGUGGAGCAGGAGCAAACCAAAUAGCCAAAGCUGUUUGUUAAUUUUUCUGUUGACAAUUCUGAAAGGUGAGGACACACACUGUUGAACUAGUUUUGCCAUGCAAUAUGGUUAGAACAAUGAAAAGGAACUGUGCAUUUACCUUGGGAAAGUUAAAGUAGUUUUGUCAUCUAUCUUGGACUUCUAAUUUUAACAAGACUACGCGAUCGGAGAUUUUACUCAUUAGUGUGAGUGUGGAGGUAAUUCCUUUGGCUUCACUAAAGAAAUUAGUGUGUAUGCAUAGCCACGUUCGCGUUUCUGAACAAAAAUCUUUACCCAAACAGGCACCUGUCCGCUUGGCCCCGCUGUUCCCAUUCCCCGCAGGGAAGAGCACAGUUAACGCAGCAUCUCCGAGUCCCGCCCGAGGCGCUCCGGCGCGGCGCUUGGAUGCUAUCCAGGCUCCUCCCGGAGAAAGCCGGAGUCCCCGUCGAGUCGCUGCCAUGGCCUCCGUCCCCUCCGCCGGCUGCCUCCUGGCCAGGAACCGGUACUACAGGACAAGACUGAACUUGGAACCCAGCGUUUCUUCCAGCUUCUCCUGCUGUUUGGAUGCUGUGAACAUCACAGACCAGGACAAAGCAUUGCAUGGGUUACCAGAGUUAAUUGAAAAAUAUUGGUGGAUAAAAAGCUUCUUCCACAGUGAACCCUCUGCACCAACUGUUGGCAGAAAAACACUCUCAGCAAGCAGGUGAGUCUUGGUUUUAAAAUGAUGGGGAUAACUUACUUGCUCUGCUUUCCUUUCGGUAACAGUGUUAGUAAACAAGUCAUAAUCAGCUAAAACCAUCUGGUAAGGUGCAAUUCUGUUUUGAUGAUUUAAGUAGAAUAUACAUCAAAUUUAAUGCUAUAUAACCUUUCCACAUUUUCAUUUUAACAAAUGAACUCAUAUGC
rnacentral:lncRNA from 1 species